UACGGGAGGCAGCAGUGGGGAAUAUUGGACAAUGGGGGCAAGCCUGAUCCAGCCAUGCCGCGUGAGUGAUGAAGGCCUUAGGGUUGUAAAGCUCUUUUGGCGGGGACGAUAAUGACGGUACCCGCAGAAUAAGCCCCGGCUAACUUC
rnacentral:rRNA from 1 species